rnacentral:tRNA from 1 species
UGGGAAGAUGCUCAGUAGUAGAGUGCUUGCCUUGCAUGCAUGAGGCACUGGGUUCGAUUCCUCAGCAUCACAU